rnacentral:lncRNA from 1 species
CUAGCUUUUUAUUUAUCGUUUCAUUUAAGUCGCUAAAUUGUUAAAAUUGUUGUUGUAUGGUUUUCUUUAUUUACACCUCUUGCACUAAUUGAAAGUUCUCCUUCCUUUUUUCUUCUUCUACAGUUCAGCUUUUUUCAAGAAACAACUUUGAAUGUCACGAAUCUGUGAAUCAAAAUUCGAACAGUUUUCUUCUCCGAUCUUCGACAUGGACUAUCAUAUCGACUUAGAUCUAAGGUAUGUUUUUUUGCUCGUCAAUGGAUGUUGAUCCACCAUAUUAAUCGCCAAAUCGUCACUUGGAGCUUGCUAGUCGGGCUUAAAAAAAACUUAACAACACAAUAAUUUAAAUAAAAACUUUUGGACAGCUAAGUGACUUAAAUGAAAACUUUCAAAUAAUUUAGUGGUUGUUUUGUAACCUUUUGAAGUUAAGUGACUAAAACAUAAAUUUACUAAUAGUUUAGUGACUUGGAUGUAAUUUACCUUUAUCAUAAUUGAUGAUGAUAAUCAAAAAGCAAAUUCAAAUGACAAGGCAAGGGUUCUUGAUCCUAAAAAAUAGAAAACUUACUUUUUAGUAAAAAUUAUUUAAUUGAAAGUUAAUAUAUGGUAAAAUUGCAUGUUAUACUCUAAAAAAAUCAUUUAAUGUUUCCAAAAAUGGUGCCAUCAUAAUUUAAUACUAAAUAAAUGAUAAAAAUUAUGCUUUACUUCUAAAAAAUUUAUAAUUCAUUCCACCCUCUAAAAAUAUUUUUAACUUCACCUCUAAUGAUAAUAUUCAUUAAAUCUACAAUCACAAUCAGGGGCAACCAAAAAUGAAAAAUUACUUAUAUUAUCUCUUUAAUUUUUAAAAAAUUACAAGAUAACAUAAUAAUAAAAUUUUAUUCAUUUUUAAUCCUCUUAAAACAAUUUCCUAACUUCGUCUCACAAAACAACUGAAAUAACUUCCCAUUUCCAUCUUUCCAAAAGAACUAAGAAUGAAACUACUUUUGACUUUGGUUUUCCAUAUUUAGAUAUACAUUCCCUGCCACCUACUUCAACUAUUUAUGUCUCUCUCAAUUAUCAUUUGUUCUUAGGUAUACCCAAGAAAUUGUAGCCUACUUUUUUUCUUCACCAUAUAUCUUGAUUCUUGAUUCUUGAUUCUUGACUAUUAGUAAUGGAGUUGUAACUUUUUGCACUUAAUUCCUUUCCCAACCAUCCAUCAAAAAGAAAAUUCAAUGUCAUCUUCAAAGUUUCUUCUUCAUUUAUUUCCAAACAUGUGUUUAUAUGACUUUGAAUGUAUAUCAUUUUCAAUUUAAUCCUAGUCUUCCCCUCUUACUUAUCUCUUAUGAAUUUCUUCUUCACCUAAUCGACAUUGCUUACGCUUUUGAAUCCCAAUUUUUCAAUUGAGGUUUCUAAACAAAUCCACAUUGCAUUCGCCGGUCCUCGUCUUGGUCGUCGUCGUCGUCGUGGUCAUUAUCAAUAAGUUUUCUACUGUUUUUCGGGGAAAAGGUGGGAUGACUGGUUUUGCUUACGUGAGAGGGUGAACUUUGAAAGUAGAAGAAGGGUUGAAAAAUGUGAUGUGAAAUUUAGGUAAAGUCCUAUGCAUGGUUUCUAUGUUGACAUUGUAAUACAUACUUAAAAGGAAAAUAAAAAUAAAAACUAGAAAGUUUCCGUCUGAUAGAUAUGUAUUAACAUCAUUUAACAUGUUUUCAACAAAAUAUUACACGCAUGGUAAUGGCAGAAUUAUCCGAAUCACCUACAGAAGAGGCAUUUUAUCAAAAUCGGAUUUGGGGUGGAGCGAGAUAGGAUGGGAUGGAUUUCAAUUAAAAUUUGCAAGUCCGGAAGGUGCCAAUGUGGGGGCUGAGUUGAAUUUAUAAAAUCUUGGAGGCGCUAAAGUUAAAAACUCUUAGUCAAAAUUAUUUAAAUUGAUGAAUUAUGAAUUCUUAAGUUGGCUAAAAAUGCAAUUACUCCAUCUUUGCAGAAGGCCAAAUUACCUCCUGCUUACCCCUAACUUUGUGUUAGGUUCAGAUGAAACCCGCCUGCCCCAUCAAAAUACCCUCUUCUUUUCUUGCCUUGAUUUUGAAUGCUUCGAAUUAGGAUUUUUUUUAAAAAAAAUUUUAAUAUUUGAAUCGAUUACCAAAAAUAUCAACUAGAACUUGACUUGUCCGAAAUUUUAAAUAAAUUUUUAUAUUAUAUUAUUAUUUUAAAAUUAAAUAAAAAUAUAUAAAACAGGUAAAAUGUUAUAAAGUGUUAUAAAUGUUUAAAACAAUUAAUUAAAGUAUAAAAAUAGCCCUUUUGAAUAAAAUGGUUAUAUUGCAGUUUUAGACCUCUUAAAAAUUAUCAAUUAAAUUUUUUUUUUCACCAUAAAAUUUUUAGAUUCGACCCCCAAUAAUUUAAUAUUUUCAUCUUGACCCCUAAUAAAAAAAAAUGAUGUCUUCGUUGUCAUCCGAAACUUUGAAAUUAGGUACAAAGAACACAAAAUUAUUUGUUAUGAUGUAAAUAAACUCUCCCAAUGUGUAAACUUGAAAAAAGAAGUUGACAAAUAAUAAUAAUAAUAAUAAUAAUAAUAAUAAUAAUAAUAAUAACAACAACACAACAUAAUAGAAUUUUAAACCUUUUGACACAAUAUUUUAUGGGUUUUUUUUCUCAUGUAAAAAACUCAUGCAAGAUUAUAAUUUUUUAAUUGUAAAUUACCAUUUGAUUUUUUUUAAUUGGUAGGUUCAAAAUUCAAAAAAAAAAGAAAAAGAAAAAGAAGAAGGUAUUAUCGUAGUAAUUUCUUGAGGUUGAGGCAAACCUAACGUGAUUGCGUGAUGGGAACUCCAAGCAUUAGCCUUCUCCACACAUUCCCCAUUCCCAAUUUAUUUAAAUUUCAUUAUUUUCGUUUUGGUCAAACAUUAUUUUAAAAAAAAUGUAUUCAAUUAAAAUAUAAUUUAACUCAUCUAAAAUAUGUUUAGUAUAUCAUUUGGUAUUCGAGUUUGGCACUUUUUUU